GAUUCUGGCUCAGGACGAACGCUGGCGGCGUGCCUAAUACAUGCAAGUCGAACGGCUUUCUAUGGAAGCUUGCUUCCACUGAGAAGAUAGUGGCGAACGGGUGAGUAACACGUGGGUAACCUGCCCAUAAGAGGGGGAUAACAUCCGGAAACGGGUGCUAAUACCGCAUAGUUUUCUUGAUCGCAUGAUCGGGAAAGGAAAGACGGCCUUUGUGCUGUCGCUUAUGGAUGGACCCGCGGCGUAUUAGUUAGUUGGUGAGGUGACGGCUCACCAAGACGAUGAUACGUAGCCGACCUGAGAGGGUGAUCGGCCACAUUGGGACUGAGACACGGCCCAAACUCCUACGGGAGGCAGCAGUAGGGAAUCUUCCGCAGUGGACGAAAGUCUGACGGAAGCAACGCCGCGUGAGUGAAGACGGCCUUCGGGUUGUAAAGCUCUGUCUUCAGGGACGAUAAUGACGGUACCUGAGGAGGAAGCCACGGCUAACUACGUGCCAGCAGCAGC
rnacentral:rRNA from 1 species